rnacentral:ncRNA from 1 species
UAGAGUAGAUAUUGCGCGUCAAGUGUCAUGAGAUGGGAUGUUGCUCAUGAACGAAGGAUCGAUUGACGGAUGAAAGGAUGAAUAAGAUCCGCGGUGCAAUGUCGCGUCCGCUA